AUAAACUUGUCUUGAUCGAAGCGUGUAUGCAGUGUACGGUAGGACAAUAUUGUUCUGCAGGCUUGCUCAAGUGAUAUGUUGUACCUGUGUUACCAAUGUAAACAUGAAUCGUGUCACGAAUUUCAAGUUAGCUUGAUCAGUCUAUAGUUUUACGAAGGGCUCGUUUGGUAAAGCUCCGAGAGUCGAUGUAUAGUGAUUCCGAAUGAUUAAAAGUGAAAUUUAUCUGACGAAAAAUGUUUGGCAAAUAACGUGUGAAGUGAUUCUUGAUGGGUUUUGGCUAGGAGUACAAAUGGAGACUAGAUUCACUCCGCUCCCACCAUAGGGCACUUCACUUUUUACCGUUUGAUUACGUGGGAAUGAUUUUCGCUGAGAGUGGAGCUGUGGUAGCUCUGCCAAACGCCCCCAAAGCAGCGGUGAAGCUAAUCUUAUUUUUAUGAAACGUUUAAUGAAAUAGCUCUAGAUAUACCAGAGUAGAGAUGGCAAUGAGCCCUGAUUCCCGAUUUUCCCGGGGAAUUCUUCCGUCAAGGGAUAGAGGCGGGGAAGUUUUAUCUCACGAGGAUGUAAAUGAGGAAAAAAUUCUUUCCCCCACAAUAGCAUUCCUCAUCCCCGUUUCUAGUGGGGAUCCGUUAAACAUACACGUGACGAUUUUUUGUGUAAUAAUUAAUGAUAAAAAUAAAUAGUUACCUUAUCAAGAUAUCUCUCAUUGUACAAAUGUGUUUAUUUUGAUGUACAUAUAAUGGUUUCUUACAUCUGACAAUGUGUAUAAGUGACAAUGUUUUGCAUUAAUAAUAAAGAAAGUAUGUUCUAAUUAUAAUUUAAACGGGGACGGGGAUCUUCGUCAGGAAUUUAUCGCCGCAGGGAACAGAGAUGAAGAAUAAAUGUCCCCUCGUUAUUGAAAAUGAUAGAAAAACACUUUGGAACAGAUUAACGUAAAUUUACGGUCCACCAGACAAUGGGAAAGUGAGAGUGUGGCUUCUUGCGCCCUGUGCCUAGUUCUUUUAUAAAAACAGAGGAGCGUGGUGAAGCAAAACUACAUUUACUGUCGCCGCACCUAUCUACUGGUGGUUUUUUCUUAGACUCCGAAGCUUUCUGCUAAUCACCACCUUUAGAGCGAGCUUUAGGGGAAAAAGAGUUAAGAUUAUUGAGGCAAAGGUCUAGAAAACGGUUGUGCAAGAGCAGGGGAGAGGAAGUGCUUCCACCUUGUCCUUAGGGUGCACUCAGAUUCUUGAGGUAAUGACUCAAUAUCUACCUUUUUCCACGUUAAGCCGGCUGGGAUCAGAGCUGACCAACAUGUUACUGACUACAAAGGGUACGGGCAAAGAAGGUCAUGCUUCAUCACCUACAAUGACAGAAAAAUCACCAGCAAGAGAAAAAAGCUCACGGAUCGAAUCUCUUAUUGAUGCAAUUUUUGGGCCUUCGUCACCAAAGGAGGAAGAAGUUGAAGCAAAAAGUGUCGAAGCUGGUAAAUAUUCAGGAUUUGAAAAGGGGGCUCGAAAAGCUAAGCACUGCUCUAAAGCCAGACAAGGUUGGACAUGCUCGCUCUUCUGGCAAAGAAUUGGAUGAAGAAAAUGACUUUUUUGUUAGACAUCUUGCCAGUGGUGAUCUAAACGAGGAAGAUGCUUCGAAGCUAAAAGAGCAAGCUAAAGCUAUUGGUUACAACUCCAGGGCUAUGAUCUUUGGUGGAGGAAAAGAUGUCUUGGUGUGCAUCCCGAAGCUAGAGAAGCUAAAAUUGUUAAGAACGUUGCUCGAAGCUUUGGGUUCCCAGAGAUCGAGAUGACACUGAGCAAGUUGAGAAAGCGGAAGCUUUCUCAAAGCUUUACCUAUACAAACUGAAAGGGAAAUAGGCUCACACCUUUUCCUAAAUGAUUUUGGUGGUUGAAUUGCCCAAUACAAAUAAUUGGACUAACUAGUUUGCUCUAGAUUUUAAGUUCUACAGGUGACAAAGGUUCAACACAAACCAAUAAAAAGUCCAAGAAAGGGUUCAAAUAAAAAGAGCAAAAGACAACCGAAGGCUGACCUGGUCUGGCGCACCGGACUAUUCGGUGUGCCACCGGACAGUGUCCGGUGCACCAGGGAGAUCAACUCCAAACUUGCCACCUUCGGGAAUUUGGGAAGCCACUCCGCUAUAAUUCACCGGACUGUCCGGUGUAGCACCGGACUGUCCGUUGUAGCACCAGACUGUCCGGUGUGCCAAGCGGAGCAACGACUCCCUGCGCCAACGGUCGUCUGCAACGCUACAGGAACAGUGAACAGUGUGCGACUGCGCGCGCAGAGUCAGAGCAGGCGUCAGAUGGCGCACCGGACAGUGAACAGGACCUGUCCGGUGCACCACUAGACUGUCCGGUGGCCCACAUGUCAGAAGCUCCAACGGUCGAACCCUAAUGGUUGGGUGAUGUGGCUGGCGCACCGGACAGUGUUCGAUGGUGCACCAGACUGUCCGGUGCGCCAUACGACAGCAGCCUUCCCCAACGACCUUUUUGGUGGUUGGGGCUAUAAAUACCCCCCCAACCACCACACUUCAAUGCAUCCAAGUUUUCAGCCAUCAAACCUCAUACAAGAGCUCUAUACUUCAUUCCAAGACACAAACAAAGAGAUAAAAUCCUCUCCCAAGUUCGGAAUCACUCCAAACAAAUUAGUGACUAGAGAGAGAGACUUUUAUGUUCUUUUGAGCUCUUGCACUUGGAUCGCUUUUCUUCUUCCUCUACUCUUGUUUCCAACUCACUUGUAAUCAAAACAAGAGACACCAAGUUGUGGUGGUCCUUGUAGUGGACUAAGUGUCCCAUUUGAUUGAAGAGAAAGGCUCACUCGGUCUAAGUGACCGUUUGAGAGAGGGAAAGGGUUGAAAGAGACCCGGUCUUUGUGACCACCUCAACGGGGAGUAGGUUUGCAAGAACCGAACCUCGGUAAAACAAAUCACUGUGUUCAUCCGCUUUAUUUUUUUAUUUUGUUUUCCCUCUCUUUCGGACUCGAUUAUUUCUAAUGUUAACCCCGGCUUGUAGUUGUGCUUAAACUUUAUAGAUUUCAGAUUUGCCUAUUCACCCCCCUUUAGACGACUUUCAAUUGGUAUCAGAGCCCGGUACUUCAUUAAGAGCCUAACCGCUCGAAGUGAUGUCGGGAGCUCAUGCCAAGAAGGAGAUGGUGACCAGCGAGAAGCCCACCACAAGCCACGGGAAGGCUCCAUCGGGGGAGUCCGGCAACAAGAAGAGGGAGGAAUCACCUCCCCACGUCAAGUCGCACCGGAGUGGCGACAAGAAGAAGAAAAUGAAGAAAGUGGUCUACUACGAGACAGAUUUUUCGUCGCCCUCCACCUCCAGCUCCGACACGCCUUCCGUCACUUCUAAGUGCCAUGAGCGCAAGAAGUUUAGUAAGAUUCCCUUACACUAUCCUCGUAUUUCCAAACGCACCCCUUUACUUUCCGUCCCAUUAGGCAAACCACCGGUUUUUGAUGGUGAAGAUUAUUGCAUGUGGAGUGAUAAAAUGAGGCACCAUCUAACCUCACUCCACGCUAGUAUUUGGGACAUUGUUGAGUUUGGUGCGUAGGAACCAUCCAUGGGGGAUGAAGGCUAUGACUCGGACGAGGUAGCCCAAAUCCGGCACUUCAACUCCCAAGCCACGACUAUACUCCUCGCCUCUCUAAGUCGAGAGGAGUAUAAUAAGGUGCAAGGGUUGAAGAGUGCCAAAGAGAUUUGGGACGUGCUCAAGACCGCGCACGAAGGAGACGAGGUGACCAAGAUCACCAAGAGGGAAACGAUAGAGGGGGAGCUCGGUCGCUUCAUGCUUCAUCAAGGGGAAGAGCCACAAGCGAUGUACAACCGGCUCAAGACCUUGGUGAACCAAGUGCGCAACCUCGAGAGCACAAAGUGGGAUGACCAUGAAAUGGUCAAGGUUAUUCUUAGAUCACUCGUUUUUCUUAACCCCACUCAAGUUCAAUUAAUUCGUGGUGAUCCAAGAUAUAAACUAAUGUCUCCCGAGGAAGUGAUAGGAAAAUUUGUGAGCUUUGAAUUGAUGAUCAAAGGCUCCAAGAAAAUCAUCGAGCAAGGCGCCACCUCUACAUCCGAGGUGCAACCCGUCGCCUUCAAAGCGACGAAGGAGAAGAAAGAAGAGUCUACAUCAAGUAGGCUCCCCAUCGACGCCUCCAAGCUCGACAACGAGGAGAUGGCGCUCAUCAUCAAGAGCUUUCGCCAAAUCCUCAAGCAAAGGAGGGGGAGGAUUACAAACCCCGCUCCAAGAAAGUUUGCUACAAGUGUGGUAAGCCUAGUCAUUUCAUUGCUAAAUGUCCAUUAUCAAGUGAUAGUGAUAGGGGCGACGACAAGAAGGGGAGAAGAAAGGAGAAGAAGAAGUAUUACAAGAAGAAGGGCGGCGAUGCCCAUGUAUGCCGUGAAUGGGACUCGGACGAGAGCUCCACCGACUCCUCCUCUGACGAGGACGCCGCCAACAUCACCAUCAACAAGGGUCUUCUCUUCCCCAACGUCGGUCACAAGUGCCUCAUGGCAAGGGACGACAAAAAGAAGGUAAAAGCUAGAGCCUCCGCUAAAUAUGCAACAUCUAGUGAUGAGGCUAGCUCUAGUGAUGAUGAGGAUGAUUUGCUCACCCUUUUUGCCAACUUAAACAUGCAACAAAAAGAAAAAUUGAAUGAAUUGAUUAGUGCUAUUCAUGAGAAGGAUGAACUCUUGGAUAGCCAAGAGGACUUCCUUAUUAAAGAAAAUAAGAAGCAUGUUAAAGUUAAAAAUGCUUAUGCUCAGGAGAUAGAAAAAUGUGAAAAAUUAACUAGUGAGCUAAGCAUCUGCCAUAACACUAUUUCCAACCUUAGAUUUGAAAAUGAUAAAUUGAUUGCUAAGGUUGAAAAAUUAAAUGUUAGUGAUGAUUCUCUUGUCAACCUUAGAAAUGAUAAUGCUAAUUUAAUUGCUAAGAUUGACAAGUUGAAUGCAUCUCUCUCUAGCCUUAAAAUUGAGAAUGAAAAAUUAAUUGCUAAGGCUAAAGAUUUAAAUGUUUGCAAUGUCUCUAUUUCCAAUCUUAGAGAUGAGAAUGCUAUUUUACAUGCUAAGAUUGUUGAAUUAAAUACUUGUAAACCCUCUACAUCUACUGUUGAGCAUGUUACUAUUUGCACUAGAUGUAGAGAUAUUAAUGUUGAUGCUAUUCAUGAUCACCUAGCUUUAAUUAAACAACAAAAUGAUCACAUAGCUCAACUUAGUGCCAAAAUCAAUGAGCAUGACUUAGAAAAUGAAAAUUUUAAAUUUUCUAUAAGUAUGCUCUAUAAUGGGAGAUGCCCAGGCAUUAAGGAUGGCAUUGGCUUCCAACAGGGAGACAAUGUCAAGCUUAGUGCCCCUAAGAAAUUAUCUAAUUUUGUUAAGGGUAAGGCUCCCAUGGUUCAGGAUAACGAGGGUUACAUUUUAUACCCUGCCGGUUAUUCCAAACACAAAAUUAGGAGAAUUCAUUCUAGGAAGUCUUACUCUGGCUCUCAUCAUGCUUUUAUGUAUAAGAGUGAGGCAUCUAGUUCUAGGCAAUCCACUCAUGCUAAAUUGCCUAAGAAGAAAACUCCUAAAGAAUCAAAUGAGCCUAACAUUUCAUUUAAGACUUUUGGUGCUUCAUAUGUGCUCACUAACAAAUCAGGCAAAGUAGUUGCCAAAUAUGUUGGGGGAAAACACAAGGGGUCAAAGACUUGUGUUUGGGUACCCAAGGUGCUUGUUUCUAAUGUGAAAGGACCCAAGACCGUUUGGGUACCUAAGAACAAGGCCUAAAUUUGUUUUGUAGGUUUAUGAAUCUGGGGGCUCAAGUUGGAUAAUUGAUAGCGGGUGCACAAACCACAUGACUGGGGAGAAAAAGAUGUUCUCCUCCUAUGAGAAAAACCAUGAUCCCCAUUGAGCUAUCACAUUCGGGGAUGGAAAUCAAGGUUUGGUCAAAGGACUUGGUAAAAUUGCUAUAUCACCUGACCAUUCUAUUUCCAAUGUUUUUCUUGUAGAUUAUUUAGAUUACAACUUGCUUUCAGUUUCUCAAUUAUGCAAAAUGGGCUACAAUUGUCUUUUUAUAGAUAUAGGUGUUAUUGUCUUUAGAAGAAGUGAUGAUUAAGUAGCAUUUAAGGGAGUGUUAGAGGGUCAGCUAUAUUUAGUUGAUUUUAAUAGAGCUGAACUUGACACUUGCUUAAUUGCUAAGACUAACAUGGGUUGGCUCUAGCAUCGCCGACUAGCCCACGUUGGGAUGAAGAAUCUUCAUAAGCUUCUAAAGGGAGAGCACAUUUUGGGACUAACAAAUGUUCAUUUUGAGAAAGAUAGGAUUUAUAGCACAUGUCAAGCAGGGAAGCAAGUUGUUGUUCAUCAUCCACACAAGAACAUCAUGACGACUGACAGGCCACUUGAGCUACUCCACAUGGAUCUAUUUGGCUCGAUAGCUUACAUAAGCAUCGGCGGGAGUAAGUACUGUCUAGUUAUUGUGGAUGAUUAUUCUCGCUUCACUUGGGUGUUCUUUUUGCAGGAAAAAACACAAACCCAAGAGACCUUAAAGGGAUUCUUGAGACGGGCUCAAAAUGAGAUCGGCUUAAGGAUCAAAAAGAUUAGAAGCGACAACGGAACGGAGUUCAAGAACUCACAAAUAGAAGGCUUUCUUGAGGAUGAGGGCAUCAAGCAUGAGUUCUCUUCUCCCUACAUGCCACAACAAAAUGGUGUAGUGGAGAAGAAGAAUAGAACUCUACUUGACAUGGCGAGGACCAUGCUUGAUGAGUACAAGACUUCAGACCGGUUUUGGGCGGAAGCAAUCAACACCGCUUGCUACGCCAUCAACCGUCUCUAUCUUCACCGAAUCCUCAAGAAGACAUCAUAUGAACUCCUCACCAGUAAAAAGGCCAAUGUUUCAUAUUUUAGAGUCUUUGGUAGCAAAUGCUUUAUUCUUAUUAAAAGAGGCAGAAAAUCUAAAUUUGCUCCUAAGGCUGUAGAAGGUUUUUUACUUGGUUAUGAUUCAAACACAAGGGCAUAUAGAGUCUUUAACAAGUCCACUGGACUAGUUGAAGUUUCUUGUGACAUUGUGUUUGAUGAGACUAACGGCUCUCAAGUAGAGCAAGUUGAUCUUGAUGAGCUAGAUGAGGAGGAGGCUCCUUGCGUCGCGCUAAGGAACAUGUCCAUUGGGGAUGUGUGUCCUAAGGAAUCCGAAGAGCCUCCACAUGCACAAGAUCAACCAUCUUCCUCCAUGCAAGCAUCUCCACCAACCCAAGAUGAGGAUCAAGCUCAAGAUGAUGAAAAUGAAGAUCAAGAAGAGCCACCUCAAGAGGAGGACAAUGAUCAAGGGGGAGAUGUCAAUGAUCAAGACAAGGAAGAUGAUGAUAGACCAUCUCACCCAAGAGUCCACCAAGCAAUACAAAGAGAUCACCUCGUGAACACCAUCCUCGGUGAUAUUCAAAAAGGGGUAACCACUCGAUCUCGUGUUGCUCAUUUUUGUGAACAUUACUCCUUUGUGUCUUCUAUUGAGCCAUACAGGGUGGAAGACACAUUAAGGGAUUCAGAUUGGGUGUUAGCAAUGCAAGAGGAACUCAACAAUUUCACGAGGAAUGAAGUAUGGCAUUUGGUUCCACGUCCUAACCAAAAUGUUGUAGGAACCAAGUGGGUCUUCCGCAACAAGCAAGAUGAGCAUGGUGUGGUGACAAGGAACAAAGCCCGACUUGUGGCCAAGGGUUAUUCACAAGUCGAAGGUUUGGAUUUCGGUGAAACCUAUGCACCCGUAGCUAGGCUUGAGUCAAUUCGUAUAUUACUUUCCUAUGCUACUUACCAUGGCUUUAAGCUUUACCAAAUGGACGUGAAAAGUGCCUUCCUCAAUGGACCAAUCAAGGAGGUCUAUGUUGAGCAACCUCCCGUCUUUGAAGAUAGUGAGUACCCUAACCAUGUCUAUAAACUCUCUAAGGCGCUUUAUGGGCUCAAGCAAGCCCCAAGAGCAUGGUAUGAAUGCCUAAGAGAUUUUCUUAUCGCUAAUGCCUUCAAAGUCGGAAAAGCCGAUCCUACUCUCUUUACUAAAACAAUUGCUAAUGAUUUUUUUGUAUGCCAAAUUUAUGUUGAUGAUAUUAUAUUUGGGUCUACUAACAAAUCUACUUGUGAAGAAUUUAGUAGGAUAAUGGUUCAAAAAUUCGAGAUGUCAAUGAUGGGGGAGUUGAAGUAUUUCUUAGGAUUUCAAGUCAAGCAACUCCAAGAGGGCACCUUCAUUAGACAAACGAAGUACAUUCAAGACAUACUCACCAAGUUUGGAAUGAAGGAUGCCAAACCCAUCAAGACACCCAUAGGAACUAAUGGGCAUCUCGUCCUCGACAUGGGAGGUAAAUCCGUAGAUCAAAAGGUAUACCGGUCGAUGAUAGGAUCUCUACUCUAUUUAUGUGCAUCUCGACCGGAUAUUAUGCUUUCUGUAUGCAUGUGUGCAAGAUUCCAAGCCGAUCCUAAGGAAGUUCACCUUAGGGCCGUGAAACGUAUCUUGAGAUAUUUAGUUCAUACCCCUAAGUUUGGCCUUUGGUACCCCAAGGGAUCCACAUUUGCUUUAAUUAGUUAUUCCGAUGCUGACUGGGCAGGGUGUAAGAUUGAUAGAAAGAGCACAUCAGGAACUUGCCAGUUCUUGGGAAGAUCUCUGGUGUCUUGGGCUUCUAAGAAACAAAAUUCUGUAGCUCUUUCUACCGCCGAAGCCGAGUACAUUGUCGCAGGCCAUUGUUGCACGCAAUUGCUUUGGAUGAGGCAAACCCUUAGGGACUAUGGUUACAAAUUAACCAAAGUUCCUCUCCUAUGUGAUAAUGAGAAUGCAAUCCGCAUGGCGGAUAAUCCCGUUGAGCACAGCCGCACUAAGCACAUAGCCAUUCGGUAUCACUUUUUGAGGGAUCACCAACAAAGGGGGGAUAUCGAGAUUGCAUAUGUUAGCACCAAAGAACAAUUAGCCGAUAUCUUUACCAAGCCUUUUUAUGAGAAAACCUUUACCAAACUUAGGCAUGAGCUAAACAUUCUUGAUUCUAGGAAUUUUGAUUGAUAUUUUGCACACCUAGCUCAUUUAUAUACCCUUGAUCAUAUCUCUUUCAUGUGCUAUGACUAAUGUGUUUUUCAAGUGUAUUUCAUGCUAAGUCAUAGAUUGAAACAAAAAUGGAGUUCUUCGGCGAAGACAAGGCUUCCACUCCACUCCAUCGUAUUAUUUCUCCUUCGCCGACACUCCGCAUCGCUCUCCAAUUUGGUAUAAUCUUCACUCUUAUAUUAUUUACCAAAGGGGGAGAAAGUUUGAAAAGGGCUUAUAUUUCACUCACAAGUAUCCGUUUUUGGCGAUUCAUGCCAAAGGGGGAGAAAGUAUUAGCCCAAAGCAAAACGACCGCACCACCACCGAUUUCAAAAAUUUGUAGUCUUUCAAUUUGUAUUGAAGAAGUUUUUCAAUUGAUAUCUUAUUUUUGAUAUAAUUUCAAAUUGGUAUGACCUCUUUCAAAAUUCAUAUCUAAAACCCUCUUGAACACUAAGAGGAGAAUUUCAUUAAGGGGGAGUUUUGUGUAGUCAAAGGAAAAGCAUUUGAAACAGGGGAGAAAAUUUCAAAUCUUAAGAAUGCUUCUCGAAAUCUUAUUCAUUUACCUUUGACUAUUUGCAAAAAUACUUUGAAAAGAAUUUCCAAAAGAGUUUGCAAAAAAAACAAGUGGUGCAAAGCGUGGUCCAAAAUGUUAAAUUAGAAGAAAGCAUCCAUGCAUAUCUUAUGAGAUGUAUAUUGGUUUAAUUCCAAGUAACCUUUGCACAUACCUUUUGCAAACUAGUUCAAUUACUGCACCUAUAUAUUUGCUUUGGUUUGUGUUGGCAUCAAUCACCAAAAAGGGGGAGAUUGAAAGGGAAAUAGGCUCACACCUUUUCCUAAAUGAUUUUGGUGGUUGAAUUGCCCAACACAAAUAAUUGGACUAACUAGUUUGCUCUAGAUUAUAAGUUCUACAGGUGCCAAAGGUUCAACACAAACCAAUAAAAAGUCCAAGAAAGGGUUCAAAUAAAAAGAGCAAAAGACAACCGAAGGAUGCCCUGGUCUGGCGCACCAGACAGUGUCCGGUGCACCAGGGAGAUCAACUCCAAACUUGCCACCUUCGGGAAUUUGGGAAGCCACUCCGCUAUAAUUCACCGGACUGUCCGGUGUAGCACCGGACUGUUCGGUGUAGCACCGAACUGUCCGGUGUGCCAAGUGGAGCAAUAGCUCCCUGCGCCAACGGUCGUCUGCAACGCUACAGGAAUAGUGAACAGUGCACGACUGCGCGCGCAGAGUCAGUGUAGGCGUCAGAUGGCGCACCGGACAGUGAACAGGACCUGUCCGGUGCACCACCGGACUGUCCGGUGGCCCACAUGUCAGAAGCUCCAACGGUCAAACCCUAACGGUUGGGUGACGUGGCUGGCGCACCGGACAGUGUCCAUUGGUGCACCAGACUGUCCGGUGCGCCAUACGACAACAGCCUUCCCCAACGACCGUUUUGGUGGUUGGGGCUAUAAAUACCCCCAACCACCACACUUCAAUGCAUCCAAGUUUUCAGCCAUCAAACCUCAUACAAGAGCUCUAGACUUCAUUCCAAGACACAAACAAAGAGAUCAAAUCCUCUCCCAAGUCCGGAAUCACUCCAGACAAAUUAGUGACUAGAGAGAGAGACUUUUGUGUUCUUUUGAGCUCUUGUGCUUGGAUCGCUUUUCUUCUUCCUCUAUUCUUGUUUCCAACUCACUUGUAAUCAAAACAAGAGACACCAAGUUGUGGUGGUCCUUGUAGUGGACUAAGUGUCCCAUUUGAUUGAAGAGAAAGGCUCACUCGGUCUAAGUGACCGUUUGAGAGAGGAAAAGGGUUGAAAGAGACCCGGUCUUUGUGACCACCUCAACGGGGAGUAGGUUUGCAAGAACCGAACCUCGGUAAAACAAAUCACUGUGUUCAUCCGCUUUAUUUCUUUGUUUUGUUUUCCCUCUUUUUCGGACUCGAUUAUAUUUCAAACGCUAACCCCGGCUUGUAGUGGUGCUUAAACUUUAUAAAUUUCAGAUUUGCCUAUUCACCCCCCCUCUAGGCGACUUUCACAAACAUUAAGGUAAAAACUUUUCUUUUAUCAUGCAACUUCGAUAAGGAUAUGAAUAAUUAACCAUUUUCCUUCGUGAUUACCUUGCAGGGCUUAAUGUUGAUCAAAGCUCUAAAACUUCAACAAGACAUGGAAGAUGCUGAAAACGAAGCAAUUAUGUCAGAACUUCAGAGUGAAGUGGAUAGGCUUGAAGACUCAUUCGACAAAAGAAUGGCAAGAUUGCUUCUUUGAAGCGCGCUUUGACUGAAGCUAAGAAGGAAAAUGAAGAAGCAGGAAAGACACAUGAACAAGAUGAGAUAAAGAUUAAGGAGCAAGAUGAAGCUAUCAAUGAGCUUCAUGCAGAUCCUGAAAAGGAAAAGAAUAAAUUAAUGCCAAGAGCGAAGAAAAUGUGAAGCUACUAGAGUCCUUAAGACAUCUUCGAGGUCACUGCUUCAGCAUCGCCUCCCUGUGCUGUGAUCGCCUGAGAAAGGUUUUCUUCUCUACCGACGACACUUUAGGCGAGAAUUCUUAUACUAGCAGGGAUGUUGGCGGAGUUCUUGCUUGGGUGGAAAAAGAACUGGGGAACUCGAAGGUGUUAUGAAUGUCUGAGGCGAUUAUUACGCAAUUGUUGGAUCUCGCGGUAUGGCCUCUAUGCUAGAGAAGACAUGCUACGAUCACAUCAAGGCAAUCAGCAAAAUAGACUUCAACAUGGAUGUUGAAGAGAUAAAUAAGCCUUCGAAGGAGGUGUUCAAUGCUAUAAAGUGGUCCUAUAUGAAUAUUUGGGACAAGGGUGGUCCACAAAUAGCUACUUCUGAGGUUGAAGCUUAUACAAAGAAGGUUUUUUCUCAGAACUUGUAUCUUUGAAAUUCUCUUAUUUCAUCCUUUGUGAUAAUGAAUUGCUUUGGUCUUUUUCUUGCUCAGUAAAGAGGCUAAGAAGAAGGCCAAGAAUUGAAGUGGGCUCGAAGCUUAGUCACUUAUCUCCUCUAAACUAUAGGAUCUUUGACGAAGGACUUUUUGUAAAUAAGUACAUGUAUAUAAAGAAACUUUUGUGGAUGUAUGAUAACCUUGACUUUUCACUAUUUUUAUUCGGAUGCUUUGUUGUGUGUGAAACCAAACUUGCGGGUUUUUGAGCCGAAGGUGAAAAACAAUUUCUCUUCAUUUCACGCAAAACAAAGCUGCCAAAGCUGGACUAAUUUAGUUAUUUCAAAACUUAAUAUUUGCUUCUUCUAGUCGAAGAACUUUUCUAGAAUUGUUGGUAUAAUGUAGUUUUUUUGCAUCUUGCCAAAGUUGUACCACUAGAGAUGCAUCAACACGACUGAAAUUAUUCAAAAUUUGACUCUGCAUUCCCUUGGGAACGACGUAUGAGUUUCUUAGCAUCAUUAGUUCAGUGCUUCUUCUUACGAAUCUGCAUUCCCUUAGGAACGACUUCUGAGCCUUCUUCAGCACCUUUAUUUCACUGCUUCUCUUAUGACUCUGCAUUCACUUGGGAACAACUUCUGAGCCUUCUUCAGCACCUUUAUUUUAGUGCUUUUUCUUACGACUCUGUAUUCCCUUAGGAAUGACUUCUGAGCCUUAUCACCAUUACUAGGUGAUUUUGAUCCUGCCUUCGUGUGAAGGGCUUCAGUAUUUGUUUCUUCUUUUCAUCGCUGCACUCAAAGGUGCCACCACAGAAUACAUUCUUGCAUCGUGUUUUGGGGAUAUGUCCUUAUAGAUUUGGGCCACUUUACAAGAUAUUGCAAAAUUGACCCCAUUAAAAAACCAUACCCCCUUGUAAGGAAAAAGGGUUCCAAUGUUGAAGAAGGAAAUUGCGAUUAAGCUAUGCAUAGUAUCUCGAAAGCUCAUAUGCAUCCUAAGAUCUAGGGAUUUCAUUUCCUUGCAUGUCCCUUAGUCUGAAUGAUCAUGUCCUAUUUAAGGCUGAAACUAGAUAAGACCGUCCCACUUUGUCUGAAGCUUGCAUGUUGUGUCUGGGUUGGCAACCCUUCGAAGCACCAAGUGGCCUGGUGCUAUAUUCUUAAGCUUCACUUUUCUGUUUCGCCACCUUACUGCCUCAGCUUGAUAUUUCCUUACUUGUUCAAUGACUUCGAGUCUUGAUUCUUCCAUUGCAUCUUUUGAAACCUUUUCAUUGUCUUUGUUAUCAGUUGAUGCUACGACUCUUACUGAACCCAACUUCACUUCUUUUGGAUUCAUUGCCUCAUCUCAAAGAGGAGCUUGAAUGACGUAAACCUUGUAGACCUUCAUAUCAAAGUAUUAUGAUUCCACAUUACCUUAAUGAGCUCUUCUGGCCACUUCCCCUUCGAGAGUCCGAACAAAGACUUUGUGAUUCACGAAAUGAUUAUACCAUUUGCCCUUUCAACCAAUCCAUUGGAUUCUGAGUGUCUGAUCAAAGCAAAGUGCAUGUGGGUUCCCACUUGACUACAAAAUGUUCUGAAUGCUUUGGAGUUGAAUUGGGUGCCAUUAUCAAUAGUUAGAGACUUUGGGACUCCGAAAUAGCAUAUGAUAUUUUGCCAAAAGAACUUUUGGAUCAUUGUUGAAGUUAUCGUGGCUAAAGCUUUUGUCUCAAUCCAUUUCGAGAGUAUUUGACUGCUACUAUAGCAUACUUCAAAUUUCCUUAGGCUGGGGGCAUCGAGCCAAUUAUGUCCAUUACCCAUCUUUGUAAGAGCCAUGUUGGCUAGAUUAGCUGGGUUAGUGACGAAGAUUGUUUCUGAUCUCAUGCACAUCUUUGGCAAUUGUCACAUUUUUGCACAAAUUCUGUUGUGUCCGAAGUUGCCUUCGAUCAAUAAAAACCUUGAUAGGAUAUCUUUCCCAACAAAGCUCUAGGGUCAAUGUGCGACCCACAGAUACCAAAGUGGAUUUAUUUUAUCAACUCAUGGCUUCAUCUCUAGAAAUGCACUUAAGCAGAGGCGAGCAAACACCCUACUUAUAGAGUUCCCCUUCUAUUAUCUUAUAUGGUCUUGUUCUGGCUUGCAUCAUUUUAACAUACACUUCGUCGUUUGUUGGGUAAUUCCAUUGAAGUAAAGUUAUAAUUUUCAUUCUCCAAUAUUUGCUAUAUGUAGGGGAAACUGUUAGGAUGGUCCUUUCCUUUCACAUUACCGAAGGUGCCUUUAGUAUUUCAAAGAACACUUCGAGAGGCAAAGGGAGCCCAUGUGCCGCAGACUUAGCCAACAUGUCAGCAUGUUCAUUGUCUAGCCUUGUGAUGUUCCUCACAGAGAAACCUUUGAACAAACAUUCCAUCCUUCGAACCAUAGCAAGGUACUUCUCCAAAGCUGGGUUCUUUUGCUUUACUUGUUUUAUUAGCAUGACAUGUGAUAACUUGAGAAUCGGAUUUUAAAAUUGCUCUCUUUACACCCAUUGCCUUAAGCUUCCUCAAGCCUAGUGGCAGAGCUUCAUACUCUGCAAUGUUGUUUGUGCACUAAAAUUGUAACUUGGCUACAUAUGAUGACUUUACUUUUGAGGGUAAGAUGAUGACAGUAGCAGCACCAGCCUCGAAGGAUCCCCAUGAGCCAUCAUAGAAAACUGUCCAUAUAGCUUCUUCUGAAGUGCUAGCUUCGUCUUGUGGGUCAUGAGUCCAACCAGUAAUGAAAUCUUCUAAUGCCUGAGAUUAAAUAGAUGAUUUGUGAACAAAAUCAUUGACAAAUUCGUUGAGUUCGGUGGCCCAUUUUCCAAUUUGGACAGUAGCUUCUUUGUUUCUUAUGAUGUCUUUCAAAGGUUGCGAUGAAGGUAUAAUGAUGUUGUAAGACUAGAAAUAAUUUUGAAGCUUCCUGGAAGCCAUUAAGACUACACACAUGACCUUUUCUAUCUCUGAAUAAUUCCUUUUGGAUGGACCUAGUACUUCAGAGAUGAAGUAUACUAGGAUUUGCUUUUUUUGGUUCCCUCUUCCACCUUCUCAUGAAUAAGAGUAGUGUUUGAACUAGACUGCGAGGCAGAUACAUAAAGCAAUAGGGGAGCCCCUAGCGACAAUGGGGAGAGGUUGCUAAGUGGAUCAAAUAUUGUUUAAGCUCUUCGAAGGACAGAUGUUGAGAUGGUCCCCAUUGAAAUAUUUUUGCUGAUUUUAAUACCUCAAAGAAAGGUAGGCUUCGUUCUACGGACCUUGAAAUAAAUCUGUUCAAAGAAGCAAGUCUUCUUGCUAGCCUUUGAGAUCCUUUCCUUGUCUUUGAUGUCUCCAAACGAAGUAUGACUUAUAUCUCGUAUGGAUUCGCUUCAAUCCCUUUCGUUGAUACAAGGUAACCAAGAAAUUUGCCCUUCUUCACUCUAAAUACACAUUUCUCACGGUUGAGCUUUAGACCUGUCCUUCGAAAGUUGGCAAAGGUAUCUUGAAGAUCUGAGAUAUGACUUUGUUGCUUCGUGCUUCUAACAAUGGUGUCAUCAAUAUAGGUUAGAACAUUUCUGCCUAACUGUGUGCUUAACACCUUGGUUGUCAUUUUGCUAAAGCUUCCACCAGCGUUUUUGAACCCCUCAGGCAUUGGAAGAUAGCAGUAGGUGCCACUAGGGGGUUAUUGUAACAUCCCAAAAUUUCAACCCGAGGUUUGGAACCCUAAUCUUCCCCAUAUUUAUCUCUCCCUAAAACUCCACCCCAUAGGUCUUCUCAUCAUAUGCAUACACUUUGUUUGAUUAGAAGCACCUCACAUAGAUUAUAUUUUUUUAGCACCUAAGAUUAUCUAGUUAAUUAAUUGUUCAAGAGGAAAGGAGAUAAAAGAAAUAGAAAUAGAAAAUGGAAAUAAGAAAUUAAUAAAAAAAGGAGAAACCUUUCCCCCCUGGCUGGGCCGAUUCCCGGCCCAUACCCGCGGCCUCUCUCUCCCCGCGCUCGUGACCUCCCCUCCCCUCUCGGCCCACCUCCGGCCUGCUCCCUCACGUGCGCCAGCCCACCCCGCGAGCUCUCUCUCUCUCGCUGCUGCCCGACCCCACCCGCCAGCCACACUCACCCUCGCUCUCUCUCGCCCACGCAUCGCUGACAAGCCGGCCCCGCUAGUCAGCCACCCUAUCUUCCUCGCCGCACACGGCUUCAGCGCGAUCGCCGUCGGCCACCGUCCUCCUCCUCCCCACCUGCACUCGCCACAUAGAGAAGUUCGACACCGCUUCGUCCUCGCUCGCUGUGGUCGCGUCCUUGCACGGCACCGCCCCGCCGAGCGGUCCCGUCGCCACCGUUGUGCACCAUUUACUCCAUCGUUGUGCACCUCACCAGCGUCCACCUAACACCGCUGCUUCCCUCCCAUCGGGCGCCUAUAAAAGGGCCGCCCCGAGCUCCUCCAUGACUUGCACUGGCCUCGGCCACUCUUCCCCCCUCCCCGAGCAGCGCCGCACCAGCUCCGCCGCCCCUCCCUCCAGUCCGGUAAGCUCCUUCUCCUCCUCCCCCCUCUUUGGUUGUUCAGCGAGAAAUUCACUAGGCUCAACAGCUUCACCACAUCACCGCAAACUCGGAACACCGCUCCCCUGCCCCCGAUCACCACCCAAACUUCACCGGCGACGACUCCCGCCAUGGAGCUCCGCCACCCCACCGUGGUCAGCUCCCUCCCAGUGACCUCUGGCAAAAUUGGACCCACCCUUAAGCUCGCCAGCCUCUUCUCGUGCUUUGGCACCUGCCCGAUCCCCAGGAAUCGGGUCACCGGCGGCGAAUCGCCAUUGAACCCGCCGUCGGCCGGUUCGCCCCUGCCCCGUCGGCCGCUGACGCCGUCUCCCCUCCCGCUCUCCCUGGCGCGUGGGCCCAUGACCACGACGUUGUCUUCUCACGCGCCCGCGCCGUCUCUCGCCCUUGGGCCAUGCUGGGCCGGCGCGCUCCUGCCCGCGCACGCACCCGCACCCGGCUGGGCUAGAAUUUCCCCCGGCCCACCAGAGCCAAAAAUCCUUUUCCUUUUUCCUUUUAUUUUUCCCAUUUAGUUUUGUACAUAUAUCUUGAUAUUUUAUGUACCAAAAAUUAUCCAAGCACUAUCUAAGCCACAUCGAAUGAUAAUGUUAGGAACUUGACACACUCCACUCAGUAAACCACUGUUUGAUGUAUUGUUUAUUGCCUGUUUUGCUAGAAGAAGCGGGGACCAUCGAUCCGGAACCCGUAGCCCCGGAAGAAGGGCAGGAGCCCGACCCCUCCGAGAUAAAUCUUUUGUGCCAGGAAAGCUUCGACGAAGGCAAGUCCAUCCUUCCCUUGAUGCAUAAUUUACCUAUUCUUUCUACCACUACCUAAGCGGGGAUUAAGGGAUGGAAUAUUUGCAUUGUGAGCAGAGAGAUAGCCCGCAUUAACAAACAUCUUUUGAAUACAAAAUGUGGGAUGGGAAAAAGGGCAGUGUGUUUCACUAAGCAAGGUUUUCAAAAAGUGUGCGAUGAAGGGUAUUCACCCUCAUCACCUUGUGAGUGGGAUGAUCAGUGACUCCCUAGUUUAGGGGAGGGCCUAAGGUGAAGGCUCAGCUGGUUUAGGCGUGAGCAGAAGGAUUGUCCCCUCAUAUACGGACCGGUUUGUCAUCUUUCACUACCUGUACUCAUGAUAAGUACAACCACUCGAGACUGUGUGGGCAGUCACUCAAUCUGAACUCGUACGGUCCAACCCCAGGGUUAUGAAGGCUGGGGAGCACCGGGAGGAUAAGGAGGGGGAAUGUUUUGUCUGGUUUGGACAUGGCGGUGGCCUGACUCCUUCCGGUAUAACCGUUAAGGUUAGGACGUGCGAGGGAAGAAAGAGAUUCAGAUUCGGAUCUCAUUGGCCAUGGGAUCGCAGAGCCGGACUAGUGGGUAAAGUGUACCCCUCUGCGUAGAGUUCAAACCUAUUCAGAAAGUAUGUGUCCACUGGAAUGGACGAGUCUGGUGUGGUAUGACAAUUAGUGUCUUACAACCUCUGUGAACAGGGAAAUGUGUGUGUGUGAGUGCGUGUUUGGAAAAGAAAACGAUGCCGCGGGAGCGAGAAGCUUAGUGGUGGUUGAGUAUUGUGUUAUUUCUAUUUCCAUGGGAAAACCCUAAAAGUACUGCCUUUCUCUGAAAAAAAGAGUGACUUCAACUCCACCAUAUAAAGCAUGUAUGAUAUAGGUCCCUUUCUCUUUACGGGAGCGGGAUGGGCUUGCAGAAUACCUAGUGUUUUCACCCAGAUUUAUUUAUGUUUUUCAGCAGCCGAAGGCUUCUUUUCUGCUAUGCUUGAUUGAGGGGACUGUGUCUGCACCCAGUUCUGCCUGUGGCUUGGGCCAGUGUAUCUUCUACUGCGCUUUGUAUUCUGGCUCUCUCGAGCUUGUACCCUGGUAUUGUAAUAACAGUUAUUCGAACUCUGUACUAUUUGAAGUAAGGAAUGUGGUUACUAGCCUCCUGGGACUAGUAAUUGUAUCACAUUUGAGUCCCAAAGGAUCGGGGCGCUUCAGGUGGUAUCAGAGCCAUAGGACUGGCCGUAUGUCGCAGCCCUGACCUUAAAAGUUUGCCUUAAAAGAAAAUACCUCUUACCCCAAGAAAAAUCUUCUCUCCUUUCCCCCGAUAUUAACAGACCCUUCUUUUCCUAUUCCAGAUAGAAGACUCUCUGGUCAUUAGGACAUCCUACUGCUCAGAGGUGGAAGGGUUCCCACAUCUGUUGCGAAGUUGUGCGCUUCGCAUGGGGAUCCGCAAUAAGCCAAAAUAUGUCUAGAAGGAAUAUCUCGAGAAUGGAAUGGAGAAGUGCUCUAUGGCAGUCUACCUGGGAGAAAGCUGAAGCUACCCAAACCACCCUCCUUUCCAAGUCACUUUCACCGGACACCGCUUCCCAGACACUUGCCAAAAUGUUGCCCGAAAAGCCCUCUGACAGCUAUGCCAAAACUACAGCAGAAUGGUCUUUGAAACCCCCCUUCGCUACUUUCCACCCAGCAACAAAAAUACCCCUGCCUGGAGGAAAAGACUUCAGGCUCUGUCAGGAAGAGAUCCUACCGAGGAUGACCCCACCAUCGUCUACAUGGUCGGAUACCUCCAUACUCUCGAUAACCAAUAUGAUGACCUUUCCUCCCGCUGCACUCACCUAAACUCCCGGGUGGAAAGCCUGGAGCAACAAGUCAAGGAACUUAAAAGGGAAAAGGCGUCCCUCCAAGAGAGUCUCGAAAUAGCAGAAGGCGAGGAAACCAACACUCGUGAAGCCUACCGAACCCUGAAGAUGGAUUACGACAAGAAGCUAAAGAAGCUCGCCCCCGCGAAGAAAAUCCGAAAGAAGACUGAGCAGAAGGAGGAAGCCCCUCUAGCCCUACCUCCUACCAGGAUAGAGAACUCGUCCGACACCGAGGAUAUGUCCCUAGCUAGCCUUGAUGACCUCCUCAAGGAAUUUGGGGACACUUUAGAAAAGGAGUUUGGGAGUACCUUAGAUAGCACCUGCGUGUAAUGCGACUUGUGGUAACUGUAUGCUUGUAAUGAACUUGUGUAAUGAAUAAAAUAACUUGGUUAAAAAAAUUGGCAUAUGCAUAGUAGUAACUCUUUUUCCCUGGUAGAUGGCUUCGAAUAAAACCACGCCUACCGCCUCCGGGAUUGGAGCAGGGUUCCCUUAGGAGCUAAAGGAGAAGCUGGCGGAGAAGGGAGUGAGACCCACCUCCCCACACCUCCGGAGCUGCCAUUAGAUUUAGCCCAAGUUCUAGCCAACCAAACCCGACUCAUUGAAGUCCUCACUAGAAGUCUGGAGAAUUAGCGCCCGAAUGGUGGAAGACCACAGGACAUGAUGGGAGAUUUUCUAAGGCUCAAGCCUCCCACGUUCGCUGGGUCCAGCAAUCCCCUCGAUGCCGACGACUGGCUGCGCACGAUAAAAAGGAAAUUAGAAGCCAUCGGACGCCUAGAAAAUCAACGUGUUCAAUUGGCUGCUCAUCAACUUUCUGGGAUGGCCCUAGCAUGGUGGGAUACCUUCAGCACUACCGUCAGAGACGCUACCUGGGCAGAAUUUGAAACUGCUUUCCGAGAGCACCAUGUACCCCAGGGGAUCGUUCAGCUCAAGGAAGAUGAAUUUCGGGAACUAACUCAAGGAGGAAGAUCUGUCAGUGAGUACGUGCACAAAUUCACAGAAUUGGCUCGCUACGCGCCUGACGAUGUCAGCACAGAAGGCAAGAGGAUGGCCCGUUUCUGAAAGGGCUAAGACCAGAACUCAAGACCAUCCUUGCCAGCCAAGAUUUCCUCAGCUUCUCGCACCUCUCCAACAAAGCCAUACAAGUGGAAAGGGCAAAGGAAGAAGAAAAAGGUCACCUCAAGAGGAAAUUCGAAGUUCUCCGAGCUCAGCAGCAAGACCGACACCAGAGAGCUCGAUCCUUCGAGUUUCCACCCAAGGGACCAAGCUUUAAUAGACCAGCUGGACCCACUCCGUCACGUUUCAGCCAGCAGAGUCAGAGCUCCUUUCAGCCCCCCUCGGGCGCAAGCAACCAACCACCAGCAAAUGCCUGUUGGCACUGCGGAGACCCCAGUCACUUCAAGUAUAACUGCCCCCAGUUGAAGGCACCAGGACCUACUUACUCCAAUUCGGUGAAUGGCCCCAAGAAUACCUCGACACCCGCCUCCAAGGCACCCUCCUCCAACAGUCAGCAGAGCAAGACCCAGUAUCAGGGCAGAGCACGAGUUAACCACGUCGAUUCUCAAGAGGCUCAGCAAGCUCCGGGAGUAGUGCUCGGUGAGUUCCUUGUCGAAUUUACUCCAGCUACUGUACUUUUUGAUUCAGGAGCAUCCCAUUCAUUUAUAGCCACUAGUUUUGUGGAAAAGCAUGGCAUCCCCUCUACGCACCUAGAAAUCCCAUUGGUCACCCGAACCCCAGGGUCAGACAUUCUAUGCAAGCUCAAAUGCUCCCAAGUCAGAAUUCUUUUAAGUGGGGUAGUGUUCUUGGCAGACUUAACCGUUUUGCCAUCCCAAGGGAUUGAUGUGAUCUUAGGAAUGGAUUGGCUAACUAAGCACAAGGGCAUCAUAAGUUGCGCAAGCAAGACCGUCCUUCUCACUGACCGCUAAGGAAAAUCAGUUUCUUGUCAGGCUCAACCACCCGCCAAUGAUCCAAUGGUGUUUAAUCUAGCAACAGAAAGUAUAUCCGUAAUAGAAGAAUUCAUGGAUGUAUUCCCAGAAGAGUUGCCAGGAAUGCCGCCUGAAAGAGGAGUGGAGUUCUACAUAGAUCUAAUUUGUGACAGCCCUCCCAAAUUACCAGGCCCACAUGUACCAAUCCUUGCCUUAAUGACCUCAGAUUGCUAUGCACGUGUACCGGGUAAUUUAACAAGGCUAUCGAGUUCAUCAACUUGAACUCAUCAUCCCAAGGAUCUCCCACAUAACAGGCAUAUUACAGUAAUCACAAUUGAUACACACAUUGGAGAUAGAGAGGAAGACUUUUACAAAAUACACUUUACAUUCUAGAACUCAAGUCUUACAACAUAAAAGGGAAUGAAAUUAUUACAAGUCCUGAUAGUCUUUAGAGUGCAUAACUUAACUACAAUACUUGGAAAGGUGAAGCCUUUCCAUAAAAGAUUCACAUAAGUAAUCUAAGCUUCAAGACCUCCAUAAGGAGCAACUAAUAAAGCCAAGGCAUCAAAAAUCUUUCCUACAACAACAUAGGGAAUAAAACCCUAAGUAGGCAAUUACUCAGCAAGACUUACCCGACUAAGAAAAAGACUCUCAAGGGCAUGCUAGCUUUUGGGGAAUCAAGGGAAAAGCUCAUCAAUUAUCAAUGACUCCUUUUUGCAUAAAAGCUUACUAAUAAUGGAUCCUUAAGCCAAGUUUUAUUUCACAAGUUAGGUUAUUACCUGAAUCUACUAACCUGUCUCUAGAUUCUCCUAAUCUAGAUCAUUCACUUGGCCUACACUAGAUUGCUUUUAACCAAAACUCUGUUAUACUUGUUAUCUACGAUGCAGAGCAGUGAUCCAGUCUUCAUGACCGAGAAGUAACGGCGAUUCGAAUCGAUUAAUACCCAGCUGGGGAUCUCCAGCCACACGACAUAUGUAGCACUUAACCCUUGCAUAUGUCUACCAUUCCCACGGGUCCUCCACUACGUGAACCGGUCCGCGCCACCCGAGAGUACGGUACUCCACCAUCCAGCCACAUGCCAGGUGGGUACACGCCACUCCCGCCGUCUCUCCACUCCCAGUGCGCGAUUGUCUUUUCACAUAUGGAGUAGCCGGGUUCAGGCUUUCCCAUGACGAGGUAUGUGGCCAGUUAAAAGGUCCUAGAUCAACAGGCCUACAAUCGGUACGGUCCUUGAUCGACACAGACGGGCGACCUGUCCAGCUCAACGUCUGGUCUUAUUUUUAAACAAAUUCUCAAAGUUUGAUACCUGGCAGAGGUACCCUGCUUGAAUGAUGAAUUCAUCCCCGCGGAGGAUGCCUCCAUCAUCCCAAGCCCUUUUUCUUUUUAAAAAUCAUGAGUCAUAGAUCAAAAACAUUUUUCUUAAUCUAUAAGCAUAACUAAGCAUUACUAGUUUUUAUAAAACAGGUAACAAGGUAUGAUAAUCAAUCUUUCAAGGAUGGUAAUGCAUCAAGUGUUUAAUCAUUCAACUCCUAUUACCUAAUGCAGCAUAUAAGUGAUAAAAUUUUGUAAUACAAGGAAGGUGGCAAAUGCACCGGGGCUUGCCUUAUUGCAGGAGAAGAUCUAAAACCCUUCUACUCCGAUAAGCAGUUAGAUGGAGUCCAUCACUGGAUCAACAGCACUGGAGCAGGUUCCUCCUUUACAAAGAUCAAUUCUUCUUCUUGGUGUUCUACAUGAAUGUUAUGAAUAUGAAUGCUUGCGUAUGUUAGGAAUAUGUAACUUGCAAAGGAGACAACACAGAUUACUCCUAGACCAAACCUACAAGCUAUAGGUAUCAGGGAGCUAAGCACUCUUAGAACUCAUCUAACUAUCCAAAACUUGCUAACAACUUCCUUCUUUACUAAGACAUCAGGCGCUUUAACUACCGAGGGGUAAAACUCUCUCCCUAUAUUGAGCAAUAGCUAAUUCGCUAAGCAAAUCUUGACCAAACAGCUCUAAAUUUUACCCAAGGGUUCAUGCUCAACAUAAGCUUACACAAAUUUUCAUACAAUUUUUUAGUGCUCUAUUUUUAAACACUCCUAGCACACAAUCUAAAUCCUUUCUUCUCCAAUCAUCACGCAUAAACACUGGAUAAGGACGAUGGCGCAUAAACACUGGAUAUCACCUAAGAACCAAUUCUUUUGGACUUUCUCUUAAAUUUACACAUAUAUACGAACCAUACCUGCUCUAACACGCGACAAGCCGAUGAAGCGAGAGGAACCCGUAAGGCCGCACGGAGAAAACACGCCGAGCACGACGGCUUGUCGGGUGUGAGGAGCGCGAGUGCGACGAGGUCGGAGCAGAGGCUACGGGUUGUCCAAGACGACGACGCGAAGGAGCUGUGGGUCAAGCGCGGCCGGCGAGAAAACGACGAUGAUGUCACGGCGCGCCAAGAGCUCAGCGACGACGAGAGCACCGGUGCUGCUGCGAUGAGGUAGAGGGAUACGACGCUGAAACAGCAGGACGACGACGAGGUGGAGCUCGGACAGCUGGAGAAAGGUGUUGAAGUACGCAGGACCGGACAGGCUGAGAGCGAGCGAUUGGGGAAGAACUACAGAGAAGCUCGCUGGAGCACAGCUUGGAAACGAGCAAGUACAGGGUGGAUGCCGGGGCUAAGAAACAUGGAGAGCGAACGCUGGGGCAGGUGACGGCUGGGGGUUUUCCUGGGGGAGUUAAACGUGGUGAAGCCGUGCAGCAGUUCGAGUUGCAGGUGACGUGAGGAAUUCUCCAACCAGGAACAUCUAUCUCUAUUCAUAUGAGAGAAAAGAAAUAGAAUAUGGUAGCUUCUAGCUGUUGGGAUAAGAAAAAGAGUAGGCGGUGGAGAGUAUUCCAGAGAUAUGGACGUGUGCGAGAAAGAGGAGGAUAGCUGGAGAAUUCCCAACCAACCUUAUCUUCAAAAAAAACAUCUUCAAUUUUGGUUACAGAAUUCUGGUAGAUAUCCAGGAAAUGAGCUAAAACAUCCCCAACAGCUCUCCAACUGAAUUAAGCAAACUAAAUUAAAAUUUCAGCCACCCGAACUGAACUCGCAGCUCAACUGAACCCCCAUCCUCGUUCCAUUUUCAUCACAUGAUCCCAAAUGGUAACAGGUUCCAACAGGGAACCAAC
rnacentral:lncRNA from 1 species